rnacentral:rRNA from 1 species
UGGGGAAUUUUGGACAAUGGGGGAAACCCUGAUCCAGCCAUCCCGCGUGUGCGAUGAAGGCCUUCGGGUUGUAAAGCACUUUUGGCAGGAAAGAAACGUCGCGGGUUAAUACCCCGCGAAACUGGCGGUACCUGCAGAAUAAGCACCGGCUAACUACGUGCCAGCAGCCGCGGUAAUACGUAGGGUGCAAGCGUUAAUCGGAAUUACUGGGCGUAAAGCGUGCGCAGGCGGUUCGGAAAGAAAGAUGUGAAAUCCCAGAGCUUAACUUUGGAACUGCAUUUUUAACUACCGGGCUAGAGUGUGUCAGAGGGAGGUGGAAUUCCGCGUGUAGCAGUGAAAUGCGUAGAUAUGCGGAGGAACACCGAUGGCGAAGGCAGCCUCCUGGGAUAACACUGACGCUCAUGCACGAAAGCGUGGGGAGCAAACAGGAUUAAUACCCUGGUAGUCCACGCCCUAAANGAUGUCAACUAGCUGUUGGGGCCUUCGGGCCUUGGUAGCGCAGCUAACGCGUGAAGUUGACCGCCUGGGGAGUACGGUCGCAAGAUUAAAAACUCAAAUGAAUUGAC